AGCAAUCAGGAUCUUGUUUAGUCCGAUUUAGCGGAUGAUCCACCUAUGGUGAUUAUCUUCUGGUACGCUGCAAUCGGGAUUAACAAGUGUCCUAAUUUUAGUCCAAGCAAGUGGACUAAACCUGCUUAAUAUGCACUAGUUAAACGCAUCAAGUGGACUAAUUUUGGUAAAUAAAUGAUGAAACAAACAUCCACGAUUCAACCCAGAGCAGCCUAGGCUACACCGUUUGCACAGCAUCCAGUCAAGCAGGGAUGUAUCCCUUCCUUUCUUCCAGGACUCUGACGCGCUGGUUCUGCCCAUCAUAGGAAACCACGGCCCUGGUGUUCCUGCCGGUGUAAUGCUCGUACUCGACCGUCCUGCCUUCCCAUUGCUGGGGGGCCUGACACGGCUGAACCAUGGGGCCGCUGGCACUGGGGCUGCCCAGCGAGGAUGCAGCAAUAGUCAUCCAGACUGCAGCAAACUUCAAGAAAGACAUAAGCAUUACACAAAACAUGAUUAAUUUAGGAAAACAAAUAAGUACAAUCUUUACAGAUAUAAUGGCGUCACUAGUCCUGUUUUUACAGACUGCAUAUAACCCUGCACUCCUGCAGUGCCUCGCUGUGUGAAGAAGCGAUAGAGUGGUACCUACUGGGAGAAAAUAAAAUCAAUGUCUUUAUUGUAGCACUCAACAGAGCUGCAUCAAUUCACUUGUUCAUUGUCUAUAUCGAUAACAUAGCCUAAUGCUUUGUGUAAAAUUACUGUGUGUCAUUAAUAUUGAGAUAUGUGUGUUUUACUGGCAGCAAACUAUGUUACAGGACAGUCCAUCGCUGGUUUUAAAUUGCUACUGUAUCAUGUAAAUGUCUUCUUGAAAUCGAAGUACCGGUGUGGUGUUAUUUUGUGGUAUGCAUUAAAAAGUGGUACACGA